GAACAACUUUAUUAUGACAAAAUUGUAGAUUUAUGUUCCUCUUUUAGCUAUUUACUUCAACUUCUCUCGGUUUUGCUGUAGUUUGAAGGUGUGUUGUGUAUUCUUCAACCUCUCCUAUUUUAAAAUUAAUUCUUUCACCAAGUUGAAAAUAUGGUUCAAACUUUUGUCUCUUAAAUUUUAAGUAUUAGGCUCUAAAUAGAAGCACAAGCUUUUUCUCUAGUUUGGCUUGACUAGUGACAACUACAUCCAUGGAAAGAGGAAAAGAAAAAUGAGGAGAAAGAAGGGACUGGAAAGCAAAUAGCUCAUCGCUGUAACAGGACAAAUAUUUUGCUUAACUGUUAGGCUAUUUAUGGAGAAACUCCUCUGCGCCUGCGUUAGCUGCCUGUUGUAAUUUAGAGGAAAAUUUAUGAUGGGCAAUUUGAAACAACAUUUGGUGUUUUCGGCAGUUGUUGUCUGUUGUACUUCACGAGGACAUGGUCAAUCUUCUUGAUUUCAUAAAGAAGUUAGAUAAUGAAUGUGUGCAAAUUUCAGUUCUUAACAAGGAUCGAAUUGAAGAGCUGACAUUUGUGUCCGCAUUUUUUCAUCAUUAUCACUAUCUCUUGGCAGAAGGUUGUAAUGAAGAAAUCAUGUCUUGCAUAUCAAAUGAGAUUCAUGAUCUGGUUCAGUCACGUUUUCGUCAGAGUGGAGAAGAAAUGCUGGUUAAAUUAAUGGAUCAUGAGAUUCCUCGCCUCUUGGAAAAUGUCAGAAGUUGUAUUAGCUCAUAUAGUAAUGCAGAAUCAAGUGAUGUGACCAUGACCGAGGAUCAUUUGGUUGAACUUUUGGAUGCCAUCGUCAUGUAUCUCCAAUAUCUACACAAGUAUUGUUCUGAGUUGACUCAAUAUGAGCAUAUUGACGAAAGUAGUAUAUAUUUGGAUUUAUUUGA